rnacentral:rRNA from 1 species
GAUGAACGCUGGCGGCGUGCCUAAUACAUGCAAGUCGAGCGAACGGACGAGAAGCUUGCUUUUCUGAUGUUAGCGGCGGACGGGUGAGUAACACGUGGAUAACCUACCUAUAAGACUGGGAUAACUUCGGGAAACCGGAGCUAAUAACGGAUAAUAUUUUGAACCGCAUGGUUCAAAAGUGAAAGACGGUCUUGCUGUCACUUAUAGAUGGAUCCGCGCUGCAUUAGCUAGUUGGUAAGGUAACGGCUUACCAAGGCAACGAUGCAUAGCCGACCUGAGAGGGUGAUCGCCCACACUGGAACUGAGACACAGUCCAGACUCCUACGGGAGGCAGCAGUAGGGAAUCUUCCGCAAGGGACGAAAGCCGGACGGAGCAACGCCGCGUGAGUGAUGAAGGUCUUCGGAUCGUAAAACUCUGUUAUUAGGGAAGAACAUAAGUGUAAGUAACUGUGCACAUCUUGACGGUACCUAAACAGAAAGCCACGGCUAACUACGUG